GCGAAUUUGGCUGCUGAAUGUUUGAUGUUUUCAAAAUGGAUGUUAAAAGUUAUUCUGAAAAAAAAAAAAAAAAAAAAGAUUUACAGCAGAGCGUUGCAUUUCCACAAAAGCGUCAUUAAUAAUUGCAGGACAGUGAAAGCAGCCAUCAGGUGUGAUGAGCACAUAGUCAUUCCUUUCGUUUCAAGUUUUCGGGUCCUGCUGGACAGUCUGCACAGGAGAGACAAAAACAGCACAACAACACGAGGACUUCCUAAACAGAAACCCAUACUAGGGGUGAAGCGGGUCAUGGUAGUUGUAUCAGGCAGGGGGGGUUUGGGAAAUCCACUACAGCAGGGAAAAUACUGUCCAUUCGACCGCCAAAGUGGAGUCUUAGAACAGGCCUCUUAAGGCGGAUGGUCUGAAGGUCUUUACAGGGAGUCUCCUACACAGGUGAUCUUUAAAGGAGUGCUAAAGAAGGGUAAAAAAAAUAAAAAUAAAAAUCUUGCCUCACAAUAGAAUUGCUGCAUUCCCUUAUUAGAGGUAAUUUGGGGUAAAACUUCUUAAACCACUGUACUAUGAUGACAUUAAGAGGAACAGUCUUGUCUUGUAUUUUUUUUUUUUUUACCCUGUUACCCAGUUUCUCCUGCAGUUUUAACAUUCAGCUUUCUUGUUUACUGCAUAUUGCUGAUGCAGUGUUGUGUCUUGCUAGUUGAGUAAGACUGCAGCAUAAUGUAAAUCGAGUGCUGUGGUAGUAAGAGCGCCAUCUGCUGUUUGCUUGUUUUCUGUUCUCUAACAUUUCAGUAAAAUGACAGUGACAGCUCCCAGACAGCUAUUCAGUAACAAAUUUUGCAGUGACAUAAUAGUGAGCAGAAAUUAUUAGAUAAAAUACAGGUUUAAUGCAGUUUGCUCAAUUGCAUGUUUUGCAAUUAAUUUAGAAAAUUCAGUUCAAUAUGCACUUGAUAGGGGGAAUCUAUCUUUAAAAAAUGUACUUUCUUUGUGCUACAGUGAACUUGGCCCUUGGAUUAGUGGCAAAUGAUGCUGUAAGUAUUGCAUUCAUCUUUUGAAACCAGGAUUAUAUUGUUCCACACACCCCAGCUUCAAAUAAAAGUCAAUGUGAUUUUUUUAUUUGACUGUAUAUGUAUCAUUUAAAAACAUUUUUGAAUCCCUGGAUUACAAACACCUCUUUGGGUUGUCCUUGCAUGGCAUCUGGUGUAAUGCCGAUAGUCUCUCAUUACACAUUGAUAUUACAUUUAGAGUAUAUUUUCGCCAACUACUUCGAAAAUGUAUGAAUUAUAUGAAGGAGUAAUUUGAAAACUAGGACAGUAAAUGUUACAAAACUAACAAAAUGCAACUCAGAAGGUUAAUUAAUUCAAAAGUAUGUCAGGGUUGUUUUUCACAAGAUUUGUAAGUUAUUAACAUUUUGAUUUUUCUUGAUUAAUGAAAUGUACAACCUGAUAAUCAUGUUUCUGCUAUGACGGAGUAAGUCAGUGGGACUACUGGAUGCAGAUAUUUAUGGUCCAUCGAUCGCCAAACGGAUGAAUCUGAGAGGCAACCCAGAACUGACUGCCACUUCGCUUUCUUUAUUAGCGAUUUAUAGGAGCAGUGCUUGAUGUUAAAUCAUCUACGGUACUUAUGUGGUUCCACAUGCACCUCCAAUGGGUCAGUGCUGUUAACCCUUUCAUGCAGGACUACCUCCUAUGUCAUUUUCCAUAUA